AAAAGGACUUGCCUGACAAGGAAUCAUCAUGACUUUUUGUAAGUUCCACCACAUGCCGUCUGUAAGCCCGUUUUAAUGCCUCCAGAAACAUCACAGGAAUAUCAUCGCUUGCAGUUUUCUUAAGAAGGGUAAUCAGGUGCUUGAUUAUUUCAGCAAUGCUUGCUCCAUGCAUAACAAAAUGUGAAAUGAUUUCUGGACCAAGAUAAU
rnacentral:misc_RNA from 1 species